AGGCAGUUAGCUCAGUUUGGGAGAGCAUUUCCCCUACAAGGAAGUGGUCGCAGGUUCGAUCCCUGCACUGCCUA
rnacentral:tRNA from 1 species